rnacentral:rRNA from 1 species
UACGGGGGGGGCAAGCGUUGUUCGGAAUUACUGGGCGUAAAGGGCUCGUAGGCAGCCAACUAAGUCAGACGUGAAAUCCCUCGGCUUAACCGGGGAACUGCGUCUGAUACUGGAUGGCUUGAGUUUGGGAGAGGGAUGCGGAAUUCCAGGUGUAGCGGUGAAAUGCGCAGAUAUCGGGAAGAACACCCGUGGCGAAGGCGGUUCUCUGGGACGGUACUGACGCUGAGACGCGAAAGCGUGGGGAGCGAACAGG